rnacentral:lncRNA from 10 species
AAAACCCUGUCUCUACAAAAAUACAAAAAUCAGAUGGACAUGGUUAUGUGCGCCUAUAGCUCAGCUGCUUGGGAGGCUGAGGCAGGAGGAAGGCUUGUGCCUAGGAAGCAGAUGUUGCAGCAAGCCAAGAUCGUGACAUUGCACUCCAGCUUGGGUGACAGAGUGAGACUCUGUCCCCCCCAACCAAAAAAAGUCAUGCUGUCAUUAAAUAGGGUUGUUCUUCAUUUAGUUAGAAUCUGAGGCCAGGCAUAGUGGCUCAUGCCUGUAAUCCCAGCACUUUGGGAGGCCUAGGCAAGAGGAUUGCUUGAACACAGGAGCUCAAGACCAGCAUGGGCAACAUAGCAA